rnacentral:rRNA from 1 species
GUGGCGAACGGGUGAGUAACACGUGGGUAAUCUGCCCUGUACUCUGGGAUAAGCCUGGGAAACUGGGUCUAAUACCGGAUAUGACCUUUCACCGCAUGGUGGGGGGUGGAAAGUUCCGGCGGUAUGGGAUGAACCCGCGGCCUAUCAGCUUGUUGGUGGGGUAAUGGCCUACCAAGGCGACGACGGGUAGCCGGCCUGAGAGGGUGACCGGCCACACUGGGACUGAGACACGGCCCAGACUCCUACGGGAGGCAGCAGUGGGGAAUAUUGCACAAUGGGCGCAAGCCUGAUGCAGCGACGCCGCGUGAGGGAUGACGGCCUUCGGGUUGUAAACCUCUUUCGCCAGGGACGAAGCGCGAGUGACGGUACCUGGAUAAGAAGCACCGGCUAACUACGUGCCAGCAGCCGCGGUAAUACGUAGGGUGCGAGCGUUGUCCGGAAUUAUUGGGCGUAAAGAGCUCGUAGGCGGUUUGUCGCGUCGGCUGUGAAAACCCGAGGCUCAACCUCGGGCCUGCAGUGGGUACGGGCAGACUAGAGUGCGGUAGGGGAGAUUGGAAUUCCUGGUGUAGCGGUGGAAUGCGCAGAUAUCAGGAGGAACACCAAUGGCGAAGGCAGAUCUCUGGGCCGUAACUGACGCUGAGGAGCGAAAGC